AUAAGAAUUUUUGGAGACCGGAAUUUGUACGCGAACGAACCAGAAUAGCGACGAUCGGGCGCGAAGCGCCACGUGGUGCUUUGUGGUGACAUGUGGCAUGCAUGGGUGAAAUGGGUGUUGAUUCUACUUUUGAAUCCACCGAAGUAUAUAUAUUCAUGUAUAAGGAUAUUAUAUUUGUUAAUUAUGUUUAGUAAUUAGGAUAUCAACCUCACUCCUGUUUUCUUCCACCCUUUACACACAUACAGAGAGAGUGAGACAGAGAGCAAAGGAAGAAAAAAGAGAAGAAGAAGAACGAACUCCUGUAGUCGACUACUACCCCGUCGAACAUGCCACUCAUCGAAAGACUCCAUUGCCGAACUCCCUUUUUCUCUCUCUUCUGGUGCAAGUAUUAUGGAGUGAAGUGAUCGCGUGUUAAAGCUAAACGCUACUUCUUUUUGGGGACGGGUAAAGAUACUAGUGGCGUGAAGUAAUAAGGUAAGAGAUGCAGCCAGGCAUCACCGGGUAAUGAUAUCUUACCACUCUUUAAUGGGGUCGCUCCUCGACCGACUGGCAAUAAAUCCCGUUGAAUGCUAUUAUCGUUCAAAAGUGCAAAAGUUGAAAAAGAAAUGAAAUGAAAAAGGUCCAUCUCUUGGACCGAAGAAAUGAGCUUUCGGACAAAAAUGCUUGUACUGGAUGGUCAACGAAAUAUUUGAAUUGUUGCUUUGAACUAUUUUGUAAUGUGGGGUAUUUCCAUGGUCAAACUUGUAACUUUGGUAUACAUUUCUCACCCGAGCUUUGGCUUAUGAAUACCUUUUCCAAUUUUUC